rnacentral:lncRNA from 1 species
GUGCUGGUUGUCAAGGCAUGCUUUCUCGUGUUUGGUCAUUAAAAAAUAUAAUAUUUUAUUUUACCUGGUGAGCAAGAGCGUACGCCAUGGCUCUCUCACGCUUGGCAGCAGCUUCCUGUCUUUUUAUCAACUUCGCUUGGAUUUCUUCAACUGAACCAACGCUAUCGCACCAUCCUACCUUUUCUUGAACAUGGGCCUCGUUUUGAAGCUGUUGUUGAUGGCUUGAUUGAUCUAACGAAAGGCAAACACGCCUAGCCUUAACACGGGCCUGAACCCUGACUAAUGCUUGCAUACAACGAAGAGUUAGUGCAGCUUGUUUUCUCACAGCAUGCCCCCUCACAAGAGCUUGUAGU